rnacentral:rRNA from 1 species
AACUCGCCUACAUGAAGUCGGAAUCGCUAGUAAUCGCGGAUCAGCAUGCCGCGGUGAAUACGUUCCCGGGCCUUGUACACACCGCCCGUCACACCAUGAGAGUUUGUAACACCCAAAGCCGGUGGGGUAACCUUUUGGAGCCAGCCGUCUAAGGUGGGACAGAUGAUUGGGGUGAAGUCGUAACAAGGUAAC